AACGAACGCUGGCGGCAUGCCUAACACAUGCAAGUCGAACGAGACCUUCGGGUCUAGUGGCGCACGGGUGCGUAACGCGUGGGAACCUGCCCUCAGGUUCGGAAUAACUCCCCGAAAGGGGUGCUAAUACCGGAUAAUGUCUUCGGACCAAAGAUUUAUCGCCUUUGGAUGGGCCCGCGUUGGAUUAGCUAGUUGGUAGGGUAAAAGCCUACCAAGGCGACGAUCCAUAGCUGGUCUGAGAGGAUGAUCAGCCACACUGGGACUGAGACACGGCCCAGACUCCUACGGGAGGCAGCAGUGGGGAAUAUUGGACAAUGGGCGAAAGCCUGAUCCAGCAAUGCCGCGUGAGUGAUGAAGGCCUUAGGGUUGUAAAGCUCUUUUACCCGGGAUGAUAAUGACAGUACCGGGAGAAUAAGCUCCGACUAACUCCGUG
rnacentral:rRNA from 1 species